rnacentral:rRNA from 1 species
AAGCGGGUUGGGACCUCACCUCGGUGAGGGCUCCAGCUUGUCUGAAUUAUUCACCCAUGUCUUUUGCGCACUUCUUGUUUCCUGGGCGGGUUCGCCCGCCACCAGGACCAAACCAUAAACCUUUUUGUAAUUGCAAUCAGCGUCAGUAAACAAUGUAAUUAUUACAACUUUCAACAACGGAUCUCUUGGUUCUGGCAUCGAUGAAGAACGCAGCGAAAUGCGAUACGUAGUGUGAAUUGCAGAAUUCAGUGAAUCAUCGAAUCUUUGAACGCACAUUGCGCCCUUUGGUAUUCCAAAGGGCAUGCCUGUUCGAGCGUCAUUUGUACCCUCAAGCUUUGCUUGGUGUUGGGCGUCUUUGUCUCUCACGAGACUCGCCUUAAAAUGAUUGGCAGCCGACCUACUGGUUUCGGAGCGCAGCACAAUUCUUGCACUUUGAAUCAGCCUUGGUUGAGCAUCCAUCAAGACCACAUUUUUAACUUUUGACCUCGGAUCAGGUAGGGAUACCCGCUGAACUUAAGCAUAUCAAUAAGCGGAGGAA